UCCCUACGGGAGGCUGCAGUCGAGGAUCAUUCGCAAUGGGCGCAAGCCUGACGGUGCGACGCCGCGUGCAGGAUGAAGGCCUUCGGGUUGUAAACUGCUGUCAUGAGGGAGCAACGACUCUAGCUCUAAUACCGCUAGGGAAUGAUAGUACCUCAGGAGGAAGCCACGGCUAACUCUGUGCCAGCAGCCGCGGUAAUACAGAGGCGGCAAGCGUUGUUCGGAUUUACUGGGCGUAAAGGGUGCGUAGGCGGUUCCGGGUGUCGGAUGUGAAAGCCCACAGCUCAACUGUGGAACUGCAUUCGAAACUAUGGUGCUAGAGUACGAGAGAGGAGAGCGGAAUUCUUGGUGUAGCAGUGAAAUGCGUAGAUAUCAAGAAGAACACCGGUGGCGAAGGCGGCUCUCUGGAUCGAUACUGACGCUGAGGCACGAAAGCAGGGGGAGCAAACAGGAUUAGAUACCCUAGUAGUCCC
rnacentral:rRNA from 1 species